rnacentral:lncRNA from 1 species
CAGUUUUGUUGAACUGUGCUCAACCGACUCUUGCCAAAGGCUCAACAAGCCAAUAGGGAAGGCUGCCAGACCCAUCAGAUGACUGUCCAGUUCUGGCCAUACUAGGUGUCUCUGUGUUGCGGUGUGGUGGUGCCCAGGAACUUGAAACUGGGACUCUGCUAUAGCUGAGUCCACAGCCUGAAUGGCUGUAAGAAGCAUGGUACAAAAUGGUCCACCACUAUUGCAGGAACAUUCAUAUCAGCAUGAAGUUGUAACCCUGAAAAGGAAAAUCAGAAUACUUAUAUGGCAAUUGUUUGACUUCUCGUUAACAGGAGGAAUUAAAGAGGUACUGCACACAGUAUGUUCUUCAAAGACUACUUCCACCUUUUUGAAGAGGAUCUUGGCAGCGGAAUAUAUUCAUAUGAUUAAAUGGUACCGACAGAGAUGGAUAGGAACUCUAUGUAUCUGGAGUACCUUUAAAGAUGUUGGUCUGGAGAGGAAUGAUGACGGGGUUAAUCAUCAGGGAUGAAACAGAUUACCAGCUUUUGAACCAAUUUAAGUAGAACCUCCAGAAACAAAGCCAGGACAAAUAAUUAUUGGCAGUUCACAGAAGGCAUUCUGUGCCCACAGCUCUGCAGGAUACCGUUAAAGUCAGUUCACUUGUCUUAAUGGGAAACACCUGUGGUCUGGAACACAAGAUGAAAAAUCAAACUAACCAUGCCUGAGACAUUCAAAAUAAAUUCUGAAAAUAAAACUUCUCCUUCUGUCCC